rnacentral:rRNA from 1 species
GUGUCAGCCGCCGCGGUAAUACGUAGGUUGCGAGCGUUGUCCGGAUUUACUGGGCGUAAAGCGCGCGCAGGCGGUUUCGAAAGUCCACGGUGAAAGCUCCCGGCCCAACUGGGAGAGGCCCGUGGAAACUCCGGAACUUGAAGGCAGGAGAGGCAGAUGGAAUUUCCGGUGUAGCGGUAAAAUGCGUAGAUACCGGAAGGAACACCAGUGGCGAAGGCGAUCUGCUGGCCUGUUCUUGACGCUCAGGCGCGAAAGCUAGGGGAGCGACCGGGAUUAGAUACCCCGGUAGUCC